rnacentral:tRNA from 1 species
UCUAAUACGGCAGGUUCAUGCAUUAGAUUUAAGCUCUAAAAAUAUAGAUUUAACCUUUUAGAAUUAUU